rnacentral:rRNA from 1 species
UACGGGGGGAGCAAGCGUUUGUUCGGAUUUACUGGGCGUAAAGAGCGCGCAGGCGGUCGAUCAAGUCGCGUGUGAAAGCCCCCGGCUCAACUGGGGAGGGUCAUUCGAUACUGAUCGACUCGAAGGCAGGAGAGGGUAGUGGAAUUCCCGGUGUUAGUGGGUGAAAUGCGUAGAUAUCGGGGAGGAACACCAGUGGCGAAGGCGACUACCUGGCCUGUUCUUGACGCUGAGGCGCGAAAGCUAGGGGGAGCAAACGGGG